UAUAUUUUUCAUAUUGUGAAGGAAAUGAAGAUGUCAAUCUCCAGCCAUCAUUAUUUGAGCUUUAUUGACCCGGUCCCGACCACCAGCCAGGUCGGACAGAGUUCAAAUAGUUCAGCACCAACUCCGGAGGGUGGUAUUCAUAAUAGAUGAUUUCGAGGCCCCACAGUCAUCAGCGAAGGGGCGAACUUGCCACCCAAUAAGCAGCUGAAUAUAAGUUGGAAUAAGUAUGGGCAGCCUAUUGGACACAAGUACAACGAAUUUACAAGGUGGCUGGGCAUUUUAUCUAAGAAUGGGCGCUUAGCGCCUCUUGAUCACGAUAGUUGGCAUCAUGUGCCACUUUCUAACAAGAAUGAGAUUUGGAAUGAAGUGAAGAUCAAGUGGACUAUCGACGAGGAGCGUCGAAAUUGGGUAAUGAAGUCCAUCGGAUGUUCAUGGAAGGAGUGGAAGAAAAGGUUGAAAAAAGAAAACUACAACCGGUAUUUGACUAAUGAGGAAUGAAUAGCUCACUGUCCUGAUUGAGUGGAGCUGACACACUGGAAGUGGCUCGUCACGUAUUGGUCAAGCGAU